rnacentral:rRNA from 1 species
GUAGCAGGCCUAACACAUGCAAGUCGAGCGGAUGACGGGAGCUUGCUCCUUGAUUCAGCGGCGGACGGGUGAGUAAUGCCUAGGAAUCUGCCUGGUAGUGGGGGACAACGUUUCGAAAGGAACGCUAAUACCGCAUACGUCCUACGGGAGAAAGCAGGGGACCUUCGGGCCUUGCGCUAUCAGAUGAGCCUAGGUCGGAUUAGCUAGUUGGUGAGGUAAUGGCUCACCAAGGCGACGAUCCGUAACUGGUCUGAGAGGAUGAUCAGUCACACUGGAACUGAGACACGGUCCAGACUCCUACGGGAGGCAGCAGUGGGGAAUAUUGGACAAUGGGCGAAAGCCUGAUCCAGCCAUGCCGCGUGUGUGAAGAAGGUCUUCGGAUUGUAAAGCACUUUAAGUUGGGAGGAAGGGCAGUAAGUUAAUACCUUGCUGUUUUGACGUUACCGAC